rnacentral:pre_miRNA from 2 species
UCUUAUGAAUGAGCAAAGGAAGUGGUUUCUGGAGAUAGAAUUUACUCAAAGUGAAGAUUCUGUGAA